rnacentral:lncRNA from 10 species
CCCAGGGACCAUCCACAUUCCUGCUGCAAGGGACAUUGUGUGUGUGUGUGUGUGUGUGUGUGUGUAUACUUUGCUAUUAUAGACUUCACAUAUUAUAUAGACUUUACCUAAUAUGUAGACUUUAUAUAUAAUGUAGACACUUUGAAUUAUAUAGACCAUACGUAUUUUGUUUACUUGACAUAUUACAUACUCUUUACAUAUCAUAUACACCCUACAUGUUAUAUAGACUUUAUGUGGUAUGUACACUUGACAUAGCAUUUGUACUUUACAAAUCAUAUAAACUUUAUUAUGUGUACUUUACAUGCUACAUACAUUUCACACUGUAUGUACACAUUACACAUCGCAUUGACUAUACCCGCCUCCUAGACGUAAGAGCAGGGUCUGUACCUGUGCAUCCAUUCCCGCCCCUGUACCCCCUGUCCAGGCCCCGGCAUUAUCCUCCUGCCACCACCUGCUGUGCCCGGCCCCAACAGAGCCUUCUCCAACCCUGCAGACCCUGCCGUGACGACUCUGGCUGGGUCCUCUGGAAUCCAGAAGGGUGGUCUCUCAGGCAAGCAGCUAGUCCACGUCCCGUGUGAAAAGCCACAGACCCCCAAGCCUGCUCCUGAGAAGCCUGCCCUGGGCCAAGGAGUGGAGCUGCUCAUCAGAGCCCCCGAAGGUGGCACACAGCCCAACACUCCGCACCCCCGGGGGCUUCAUGCUGCUGCCCACCAGGUGGUGACCAACGGGAGGGGCUGUGGCCACUCACCAGCCAGUGCCCCUGGAAACUCAGCAGCCCUGGUGCCACCUGCCCCAGGCCAGGCUCAUCCCACUGCCCUCCCAGACCCUGGCGUUGCUUUCAAUAUUCACAUAACAAGAGCAUGGGGUUUCAUGACCGUCCUGAGCAGGGCCCAGAGAGUCUGCCUGGGACGGCUCUACUCCACGGUCAGGAAAACACACAGUGAAGUCAUCAUUGCCCUUUCAUCACGUCCCUGAGGUCACCAUUUUGUGUGUUUUUUUUUUUGUUUGUUUUUUUUUUUUUUUGGUCACCUGCCAUUCUCGCUUUCAGUAAGAGCUAUCUGUGGACCAUCACAAACAUGUUAAGGUCCCAUUUUGCAAGAGAUAAGUUCUUAAAAUACAGACAAAAUUGACUUGAUGGGAUGAACUUGAGAUUUCUGGCCAGAGCUGCCUCACGUCACGGGCGGGCUGUAAACUUAAUGAGUCUUUGCUGUUGCACUAAUAAGCGGGCCCAGCGCUGCCCCUUCACAGGGAAGAAGAAGGAACGCAGGCCCGGCUGCUCAGGAGAGCACAGGCACAGAUAAUUCCACCACAUCAUGGUUCGGGUCUAUUUUUUAUUUCCAAAGCUCCCUUUAUCCGUUGAAGAAUGAAGUUGGUGACAAUUUAUCUUUCCUCUGAUGGUAGCGUUUCCUUUCCAGUUGAAAUCUCUUCAUCUGCGAGGGUGUGUGGGAGACGCCAAUAGCUCCCAGCCCGAAUAAAUGCGGCAAUGGACGGCAGAUCUGCCGUUACUGCAAUGUCUAAAUUGUCCUUCAAUUAAGCUGGAGAGCUUUCUGAGAGCUUUAAUUGAUCUCUUUUUAGAUACAAUGAGCUAUCAAAAAUGGAAUACUGAAUAACAGGCUUGUUGUCCCCGUCUGCUAUUCAAGGGAGGAGGGAGCUAUUUAAAAUGUGUUCCCAGCAUAUUAAUUGCAGGAGGCCUUGACUGCACUGCAGACCCACCUGGAGGACGCCCUUCACAGGCAACUCUUUGAAGUUGGAAGGACCUGGCGCAGCCCUCCAGAUGAGGCCUGGUAGAGGAGGGCGGGCAGGACGCCCGGCUUCUGCUUCUCAGGGUUUCGUUUCUGGCUCUCAACGCCGCCAUCCUGCACCGUGGGAACGCAGAGAGCAGGGAGAGCAGGGAAGCCACCCCACACCGCCCCAGGGUGGAAUCCCUUCCGUCCCAACAACCCAGGCAGGGAAGCCGCACCGUCGCUGUAACAGGCCUGAAGCUGCCCAGCGCGGAGCUGCAAGUGGAAAAACACCUGGACAAGAAUCUGCUCGGGCGGACGGACAGCUGUGAUCCAGGGUCCCAACUGCGUCUGAGUGGGGUCUGGACGGCUGUGAUCCAGGGUCUGAACUACAUCUGAGUGGGGUCUGGGCGGCUGUGAUCCAGGGUCUGAACUACAUCUGAGUGGGGUCUGGGCGGCUGUGAUCCAGGGUCUGAACUGCGUCUGAGUGGGGUCUGGGCGGCUGUGAUCCAGGGUCUGAACUGCGUCUGAGUGGGGUCUGGGCGGCUGUGAUCCGGGGUCCGAACUGCGUCUGAGUGGGGUCUGGACGGCUGUGAUCCAGGGUCCGAACUGCGUCUGAGUGGGGUCUGGACGGCUGUGAUCCAGGGUCUGAACUGCGUCUGAGUGGGGUCUGGGCGGCUGUGAUCCAGGGUCCGAACUGCGUCUGAGUGGGGUCUGGACGGCUGUGAUCCAGGGUCCGAACUGCGUCUGAGUGGGGUCUGGACGGCUGUGAUCCAGGGUCUGAACUGCGUCUGAGUGGGGUCUGGACGGCUGUGAUCCAGGGUCUGAACUACAUCUGAGUGCGGUCUGGGCGGCUGUGAUCCAGGGUCUGAACUGCGUCUGAGUGGGGUCUGGACGGCUGUGAUCCAGGGUCUGAACUGAGUCUGAGUGGAGUCUGGACGGCUGUGAUCCAGGGUCUGAACUGCGUCUGAGUGGGGUCUGGACGGCUGUGAUCCAGGGUCUGAACUACAUCUGAGUGGGGUCUGG